AUUGAACGCUGGCGGCAGGCCUAACACAUGCAAGUCGAGCGAGCGGCGGACGGGUGAGUAAUGUCUGGGAAACUGCCUGAUGGAGGGGGAUAACUACUGGAAACGGUACCUAAUACCGCAUACCAUCAGAUGUGCCCAGAUGGGAUUAGCUAGUAGGUGGGGUAACGGCUCACCUAGGCGACGAUCCCUAGCUGGUCUGAGAGGAUGACCAGCCAACUUGGAACAGAGACACGGUCCAGACUCCUACGGGAGGCAGCAGGGGGGAAUAUUGCACAAUGGGCGCAAGCAUGAUGCAGCAAUGCCGCGUGGGUGAAGAAGGCCUUCGGGUUGUAAAGCACUUUCAGCGGGGAGGCGUUACCCGCAGAAGAAGCACCGGCUAACUCCGUGCCAGCCGCCGCGGUAAUAC
rnacentral:rRNA from 1 species